GGAGGCGGAGGAGCCUCUCAUUCCUACUCUUCUUCUUCCUACUCCCAUAGCCAGUAUGGGGAGAAGACAGGGCAGCCAAGGGUGUGUUAGGCUGCAAGAAAUGAUGCCUUCUGUGCCCACGCAGACGUCCACCAUGAGCCUCCACGACACGGGCUGCUCUGCCAAAGUACCCCAUGAGGCUAAGAUGACUCCUCUGCAAAUCUACAACUUCUUCCUUUUUGUAUUGCUCUCCAUACACAGUCACUGUAAUUUCUGUUCAUUAAUAUGCACCAAAGUUAGUGAUCGUCUUUCUGUCGAUAACAAUAUCUCUAAUAAAACUUUUCUG